rnacentral:rRNA from 1 species
UACGUAGGGCGCAAGCGUUGUCCGGAAUUAUUGGGCGUAAAGAGCUCGUAGGCGGCCUGUCGCGUCUGCUGUGAAAUCCCGGGGCUUAACCCCGGGCGUGCAGUGGAUACGGGCUGACUGGAGGCAGGCAGGGGAGAAUGGAAUUCCUGGUGUAGCGGUGAAAUGCGCAGAUAUCAGGAGGAACACCGGUGGCGAAAGCGGCGUACUGGGUCUUAUCUGACGCUGAGGCACGAAAGCUAGGGGAGCGAACGGG